rnacentral:tRNA from 1 species
GUGGAUGUAGCUCAGCUGGCAGAGCACAGGAUUGUGGCUCCUGUGGCCGAGGGUUCGAACCCCUUCAUCCACC